rnacentral:rRNA from 1 species
GACGAACGCUGGCGGCGUGCUUAACACAUGCAAGUCGAGCGGUAAGGCCCUUUCGGGGGUACGACGAGCGGCGAACGGGUGAGUAACACGUGGGUGACCUGCCUUUAGCUCUGGGAUAAGCCUGGGAAACCGGGUCUAAUACCGGAUAUGACUCCGCGGCGCAUGUUGUGGGGUGGAAAGCCUUGUGCGGCUGGAGAUGGGCCCGCGGCCUAUCAGCUUGUUGGUGGGGUGAUGGCCUACCAAGGCGACGACGGUAGCCGGCCUGAGAGGCGACCGGCCACACUGGGACUGAGACACGGCCCAGACUCCUACGGGAGGCAGCAGUAAGGAUAUUCCACAAU